rnacentral:rRNA from 1 species
AGAGUUUGAUCCUGGCUCAGGAUGAACGCUAGCGGCAGGCUUAACACAUGCAAGUCGAGGGGUAUAGUUCUUCGGAACUAGAGACCGGCGCACGGGUGCGUAACGCGUAUGCAAUCUACCUUUUGCAGAGGGAUAGUCCAGAGAAAUUUGGAUUAAUACCUCAUAGUAUGUGAGAAUGGCAUCAUUUUCACAUUAAAGUCACAACGGCAAAAGAUGAGCAUGCGUCCCAUUAGCUAGUUGGUAAGGUAACGGCUUACCAAGGCAACGAUGGGUAGGGGUCCUGAGAGGGAGAUCCCCCACACUGGUACUGAGACACGGACCAGACUCCUACGGGAGGCAGCAGUGAGGAAUAUUGGACAAUGGGCGCAAGCCUGAUCCAGCCAUGCCGCGUGCAGGAUGACGGUCCUAUGGAUUGUAAACUGCUUUUGUACAGGAAGAAACACUGGUUCGUGAACCAGCUUGACGGUACUGUAAGAAUAAGGAUCGGCUAACUCCGUGCCAGCAGCCGCGGUAAUACGGAGGAUCCAAGCGUUAUCCGGAAUCAUUGGGUUUAAAGGGUCCGUAGGCGGCUUAGUAAGUCAGUGGUGAAAGCCCAUCGCUCAACGGUGGAACGGCCAUUGAUACUGCUAGACUUGAAUUAUUAGGAAGUAACUAGAAUAUGUAGUGUAGCGGUGAAAUGCGUAGA